AUGCUUCUUCCCUUUCUGUGGCUGACUGAGGGCAAA
rnacentral:piRNA from 1 species